GAGAGUUAAACAGUACGUGAAAUUGUUGAAAGGGAAACGAUUGAAGUCAGUCGUGCUGGCGCGAAAUCAGCUCGACCACUAGGGGAUCACGGGCCGUAGCGAGCCUCAAAACCGUUACGACUUGUGAUUGCUUAGUGGCCUGGUGCACUUUCGUGUCGGCUGGUUAACAUCAAUUUCGAUCGUCAUAAAAAGGCUGGAGGGAUGUGGCUCCUUCGGGAGUGUUAUAACCUUUGGCGGAAUGUGGUGGUCGGGAUUGAGGUUUGCAACGAAUACCUUCAGGGCUGUUCCACCUGGCCUCUCAUCGGCAUCCUGGCGACGACAGCUUGCUGACGUUGUUAGGACCAGCUUUCGAACAGGCUAGAGUGUGAGCAAAUUCGUUAAGGAUGUUAACGUAAUGGCUUUAAACGA
rnacentral:rRNA from 1 species